rnacentral:lncRNA from 1 species
ACUCGCUAUCUAGAAAUUCAAUCCACUAUCUUAUUCCAGUCAACAUUCAGAAAAUUAAUUUAUUUGACUGCAAUAAAUAAUCAAACUUUAAUUUAAUAUCAGUUAUUCCUUAUAUAUUUUUCAUUAUCUAUAGGAUACUGUGGCUACUCCUGAGCAUAAUGAAAAAUACAAAUAACCUUAAUUCAAUAUCAGUAAUACCUUAUAUAUUUUUCAUUAUCUAUAGGAUGCUGUGGCUACUCCUGAGCAUAAUGAAAAAUACAAAUAACCUUAUAUGACAUUGAAUGACUAUUUAAAAAUAAAUUAUGAAUCCAUAUGAAUUCUCGGGUUAACUUUAAAUCAAUAUUAUCUUAUAAAAAUACCAUAAGUGAACAUAUACUAUGAUUAGGAUGCUGUGGCUACUCCUAAACAUAGUUAAUCUUACAAGUCCAUAUAUGAUAUGAAUAACCGAAAAUUUCAUAUUAUUCUAAAACGCAGCGGAAAGAUAAAAGUUCAAAAUAAUUUUCUUUACAACUUUAUGUGACUCAAAAAUUAUAAACUGUAUGAAGUCUAUAUUCUCUACUAAAAUUUUUAUGAUCACCUUAUAUAUGUUUAGAGUAAUAAUGCAAAAAUAUUUUGUAAAAUAUUAAACUAAACAUACUACUUUAUAUCAUGAAUAAACAAACGAGUAGAACAGAAAUUAUAUAUAACAAAUACCAAAAGUUAUACAUAAUUUUAAUAUAUAGACUUCUUCAUAAAUAAGUCACAUUAUAAAAAAAAAAAAAUAUAUAUA